UCUAAAUUAUAAAUGUAUUUACCUGAGCACUAUGAAUAGAAAGUUUCUAUUUUAGUUUAAAACUCAAAAGACUUGGCGGUGUUCUAGACUUCUCAGGGGAACUUGCCCCUUAAUCGACAGUCCGCGAUAGACCUAACUUUUUUUAAAGUAUGUAUACCGUCGUCAUCAGGUGACUUUUAAAAAGAUAAAAGUUAGCAUAUAAAAAUAUUUAUUUUUCAUGUCAGAUCAAGGUGCAGCUUAUAAAAAAGCGAGGGUGAGUUACAAUUAAGAAAUUUUAAUCACGGAAAUUUUGAUGAAAUUUAUUUUUGAAGGAGGACUUGAAAGUAAAUAUAAAAUUAUAAAAGUAUUUUGAAUAUAGCUCUGGAACGUGCACACAUCGCCCGUCGCUCUCGUUGAAAAAUGAGAUAAGUCGUAACAUAGUAAUGGUAACGGAAGUUGCCGUUAGAUG
rnacentral:rRNA from 1 species